rnacentral:lncRNA from 1 species
GAGAUUGUAGUGUCGCACCCGUAGGUAGAAUAUACGGGAAUCGUCGGUGGUAGUAUUUAGAGGUUAUGGGCCCAGGAACGGUUCAUCUGCGAGUGUGCCCUACAGGAGGUUACGGCCGCAUAAGCCGUGUAACGCCGCACGGGAUCCGUAGGAGGAGCUGCUGAUUGGUCGGAGCAUGUACAAGCAUCGGAGUCGGGCCACUUGUACAGGGCUCGAGUUGAGGAGGAGCUUCGUGAUCAUCGGAAGGUAGAACCUCGACGAGCUUCGUGAUCCGUUAGGAGGUAGAACCUGAACUUCGUGGUGGAUAAGUAGAAGGAGCUUCGUGAUCUUCGGAAGGUACAACCUUGACGACCUUUGUGAUGGACGAGAUGGUAGAACCUGGAAGAGCUUUGUGGACCUUGACGAGGAGUUUGGCGAAAGGAGGAGCAAUCCGGAUGACGACACUAAGGAGGAGUGUUGAGAUUGUAGUGUCGCACCCGUAGGUAGAAUAUACGGGAAUCGUCGGUGGUAGUAUUUAGAGGUAUGUUAUGCUGUGCUUAGUGGAAAUGAAUUGUAGAUACCUGGAUGAAAUAAAAGGAACAGCAGUUGCUAGUUGAGUUAUCAGUCAGUAGCUGUCUGCAGAGGAAUGGA